ACUAGAUGGUGUUGGUGGUCUUUCCAACCUUCAUGAUUCAAUGAUUCUAUGUAAUGGGUAGAGUUUCUCUAGGCAGGCUGAAGGUACUGAAGGACAUGGCCACAGGUUGGGGGAAAGUUCCUUCCAAAUGUCUUUGUUGCUGUCCACAAGAAGGACAUGAUAUGUGAUGCUGCUCUCGUGGGCUAAGGAUCUGCAUCAGGCAGAGAGGUUGGUACCUAGCAAACACACAUGAAUAAGAUUCUUCUGACCACAGUCAUUAUAUGAGUCCCAGCUGGGCACACUUAGCAGAGGGGAGUAGGGAUGGAGCAGAGCAAGGCACCAAACACACAAGUCUGUGGCUAUGGACCAAGGAUGAGGAGAGUGGGCUGCUUUUUGGUCCCAUUGCAAAAUAUCUCUUGACCUUGUCAAGAUACAAGAUACAGUGCUUAUUGGAUAAGAUAAGAUACAGUGCUUAUUGGAGCUGGAAGAGAAUGCCAUAUCUCCAGUGAGGAGAUAGAGAAUUAUUAGAAAGCAUUGCCCAGCAGAGUACCAGCAUUCUGUGGAGCAGGAGCUCUUUCUGGCUGUGGCUUAUGCUGCUAUAGGGAAAACUGAGAGGUAGCAAGAGAGGCAGAAAUAAAACCACAUUUUUUUUCCAAGUGCAAAAGCACUAAGGGGCUUAGGGAUGGAGGAGGAGAAGCCAGCUGGGAC
rnacentral:lncRNA from 1 species